GGUCCCAUAGCUCAGCUGGAUAGAGCAUCUGCCUUCUAAGCAGACGGUCGCACGUUCGAAUCGUGCUGGGAUCACAA
rnacentral:tRNA from 1 species